rnacentral:rRNA from 1 species
UGUAGGUGGCAAGCGUUGUCCGGAUUUAUUGGGUUUAAAGGGUGCGUAGGCGGUCUUGUAAGUCAGUGGUGAAAUACGGCAGCUUAACUGUCGAGGUGCCAUUGAUACUGCAGGACUUGAGUACAGACGAGGUAGGCGGAAUUGACGGUGUAGCGGUGAAAUGCUUAGAUAUCGUCAAGAACACCGAUAGCGAAGGCAGCUUACUAGACUGUAACUGACGCUGAUGCACGAAAGUGUGGGGAUCAAACAGGAUUAGAUACCCUGGUAGUCCACACUGUAAACGAUGAUUACUCGAUGUUGGCGAUACACAGCCAGCGUCUUAGCGAAAGCGAUAAGUAAUCCACCUGGGGAGUACGCCGGCAACGGUG